ACAGUGCGGGGCGAGGCUUGGCGAGCGGUGGGUCUGCGCCUUCCCAAGCACUUCUGGCCUGUUGCAUAAGCAGAGUGAGCUUCAGGGGCCAAGAAAAAGUUCCCAGGCAAUGAAACACAGGUGCUGGUGGUUGGUCAUUGAGCUGGUACACGCUGAUGUAGACAGAAGAGACUGGGGCAGCAUGAAUGUGCUGGAAGAUUAGAGGCUGCUGAUGCUGAAGGAAGGAGAAACGAGGAGGAAGUGUCCCUGUGGACAAGUCAUCUCCCUUCAUUUAAGCCAGGCCAGUAGUCCGGGAGACAUUCUGAAUGAUGCAUUAUCCUAGGCACCAGAAAGUAUCUAACAUUCUCAUGGACAGCAGGGAAAAAUGAGCACAUGAGACAGGGGAAGAUUCCAGCACCUGUGAACAUGUUUGUGCAGGUUUCCAGUCAGUACAUGGAUAUCCCUCAAGCCUUUGAAUCCAGUCUCCUGUGUUGUGAUUGGACCGUUUGUCAUUAGGUUUCCAGUGGCAGAGUAAUGCUGUGGGAGAACUGGCUACGAUGGCCGCAGGAGGUGAAUUAAGUAUUGUUGUGUUUUUAGUAGAACCACUAAAGGAAGAUCUGCAGGCAAGUUGGAUGAGUAUAAGAGCCAAAGAUUGACAAGACUUCCUCAGAUGCUCCUACUGACCAGUGGGGGCACUUCUACAGCUCCCCGAAUAUGUUCUCCCUGCAACCCCCACCACUUUUUAAUUAAAUGGCCAGAACUGCCUUUUUGUAUCAAAACUUAUUUUAGUCUAUCAAUCAAAGGCUUCUAUAGCCCACCUCAUGGCAAAGGAUAUCAGAGAGGUAAAAGAUAAUUGUUUUGACAUAUUUAUUAUCACAACUAGCGACUCUUUCUGCAUUCACAUUGGCUGGUAUGCAGAAAAGGGUGCUUUACAGGAUUCUUGGAAAUGUGUAGUGGAUGCUGGCUCUAGGGGAGGCAGAAUAGAGUGUGGGUUCUGCCAUGGGUCACAUCCGGGUUUUAAUUCUGCCUCUGCCACAUGACCUUGAGCACACUGGAAAACCCUAUUAGAUGUGCAAGAAGGCUUCCCCAUCUGUAAAGGUGGGUGACUUAGCAACUUUAGCAAUGCUUAAGUCACCCGGUUGUUGUGAGUAAUACAUAAGUUAAUGUAUGCUAACUUUCUAGAAAGUUUCCUGGCACAAAGUUGUAUUUAAUAAAUGAUUUUUAAAACAA
ensembl:lncRNA LINC00237 long intergenic non-protein coding RNA 237